rnacentral:rRNA from 1 species
AGAACGAACGCUGGCGGCGUGCUUAACACAUGCAAGUCGAGCGGAAAGGCCCUUCGGGGUACUCGAGCGGCGAACGGGUGAGUAACACGUGAGCAACCUGCCCUUAGCUCCGGGAUAGCUCCGGGAAACCGGAAUUAAUACCGGAUACGACCACGGCCGACAUCUGCUGUGGUGGAAAGUUUUUUCGGCUAGGGAUGGGCUCGCGGCCUAUCAGCUAGUUGGUGGGGUAACGGCCUACCAAGGCGACGACGGGUAG